AGCGGCCCUACUACAUUUCCCGAAUCACUGCGCGUCGCCAGGCGAGCGCGGCCGAGCUGACCCGAGUCUCAGCAGUGGACGCGAGACGGGAUGAGCACUCAUGAAGCACUUCUGGAUGAUGGAGCACUGGCCCUGCCGCAGUCUCUGCACACAUAAGGCUUCUCCACACUGUGCAUCCUCUGAUGCUCCAUGAGGGAUGGACUAUUAGCUGAAACCCUUCUCACACUGUCCACACUUGUAUGUCUUCGCUGAACAAAGCUGGGAGGGAGGACCGAGGCUGGAAGUACCUGAGUUCUUCCCACACAUGGUGAAACAGUGUGUCCCCUCUCCUCCCAGUCGUUCCACUCUUGGUGGAGCCGGCACGGGGCUUUGGUGGAUGAACGUUUUAAAUUCACAACA